rnacentral:rRNA from 1 species
UACGAAGGGGGGCUAGCGUUGCUCGGAAUCACUGGGCGUAAAGGGUGCGUAGGCGGGUCUUUAAGUCAGGGGUGAAAUCCUGGAGCUCAACUCCAGAACUGCCUUUGAUACUGAGGAUCUUGAGUUCGGGAGAGGUGAGUGGAACUGCGAGUGUAGAGGUGAAAUUCGUAGAUAUUCGGAAGAACACCAGUGGCGAAGGCGACUUACUAGACACAUAUUGACGCUGAGGUGCGAAAGCGUGGGGAGCAAACAGG